GACGAACGCUGGCGGCGUGCUUAACACAUGCAAGUCGAACGGACAGGCCCUGCUUUUGUGGGGUUCUCGUGUGGCGAACGGGUGAGUAACACGUGAGUAACCUGCCCUUGACUUUGUGAUAACUUCACGAAACUGGGGCUAAUACCGGAUAUGAGCUCCUGCUGCAUGGUGUUGGUUGGAAAGUUUCGGCGGUUGGGGCUGGACUCGCGGCUUAUCCGCUUGUUGGUGGGGUAGUGGCUUACCAAGGCUUUGACGGGUAGCCGACCUGGGAGGGUGGCCGGCCACCUUGGGCCUGAGAUACGGCCCAGACUCCUACGGGAGGCAGCAGUGGGGAAUAUUGCACAAUGGGCGGAAGUCUGAUGCAGCAACGCCGCGUGCGGGAUGACGGCCUUUGGGUUGUAAACCGCUUUCGCCUGUGACGAAGCGUGAGUGACGGUAAUGGGUAAAGAAGCACCGGCUAACUACGUG
rnacentral:rRNA from 1 species